rnacentral:rRNA from 2 species
AUGGACGAAAGUCUGAUGGAGCACGCCGCGUGAGUGAAGAAGGGUUUCGGCUCGUAAAACUCUGUUGUUAAAGAAGAACAUAUCUGAGAGUAGCUGUUCAGGUAUUGACGGUAUUUAACCAGAAAGCCACGGCUAACUACGUGCCAGCAGCCGCGGUAAUACGUAGGUGGCAAGCGUUGUCCGGAUUUAUUGGGCGUAAAGCGAGCGCAGGCGGUUUUUUAAGUCUGAUGUGAAAGCCUUCGGCUUAACCGAAGAAGUGCAUCGGAAACUGGGAAACUUGAGUGCAGAAGAGGACAGUGGAACUCCAUGUGUAGCGGUGAAAUGCGUAGAUAUAUGGAAGAACACCAGUGGCGAAGGCGGCUGUCUGGUCUGUAACUGACGCUGAGGCUCGAAAGUAUGGGUAGCAAACAGGAUUAGAUACCCUGGUAGUCCAUACCGUAAACGAUGAAUGCUAAGUGUUGGAAGGUUUCCGCCCUUCAGUGCUGCAGCUAACGCAUUAAGCAUUCCGCCUGGGGAGUACGGCCGCAAGGCUGAAACUCAAAGGAAUUGACGGGGGCCCGCACAAGCGGUGGAGCAUGU